CAAAGCUGUCCGUUUUGGUUUCUCACCGUGGAAGCUUUGUUCUUUUGGUCUUUUGUAAUAGGUCUUGCUGUUGCUCAGUGUUUGGGUCUACAUUACUUUUGGAGCUGUGGCACUCCGCGUGAAGGCUUGCAGCUUCACCCUUGAAGCCAGUGAGACCAUGAACCCACCAGGAGGAGUGAAGGCUGUCUUGUCUUAAGUAGUCCUACCGGCUGUAACGGUUGUUGUGAAAGUCUGUAUCCUCACUCGUGAGCCAGCAAGACCAUGAAUCAACUAGGAGGAAGAAACUCCGAACAUAUGCGAACAUCAGGAGGAACAAACUCUGGAUACGCUGCUUUUAAAAGUUGUAAUGCUCACUGAGCAGGUUUGCGGCUUCAUUCUUGAAGUCAGUGAGACCAAGAACCCACCAAUUCUGGACACAAAAUCUGUUUGCCUGUUUAGAGGCAUACUACGGGGUUACAUUAGAAGCCCACCGAGAUAAUCCAAUACAAUCUUCUGAUCUCAAAAUCCUUCACUUAAUGACAUCUUUGGCAACUUGAAAUAAUAAUCACAGGUGUCUGACUUUUAAGGUGAGAGAACUAAGUUGUGUGACUCCAAAAGAGCAGAAACCAGGAACUGGAGAAUGGAGGACCAAAGAUCAGAGAACAAACGGUAAUCCAGAUGACUGAAGGAUGGAUGUUGUGCCCUCUGCCCUUUAGGGGAUCACAAGUCUCUGCUGUGAUUGAAGAGGGUAACAUACAGAAAGUAGAAUUUUACAAUUCCAUGCUUUAUAAGGUGAUGUCUAAAAAUGCACCUAUAGGAACAAAUGUGGAUUUCCUGGUUUUGAAUAUGAUUCUGAGUGGGCAUAUAAUAAAUGCUGUCUAGCAUUAUUUGCAACUGUAAAAUUAACAAUAGAGUUGGAUCUGAUUAGGAAAAGAAAAUCAGAAUUCGCUUUGUUCUUGUGAUCAUAGCCCAAGAUGCCCAGAAUGAGAAAGUUUCAUGCUGACUCAGACCAGCUUUAAAAAACAGGGAGAACCCUG
rnacentral:lncRNA from 1 species